rnacentral:lncRNA from 1 species
UUCAGUAGCAGGCACCUUUGCAUGCUGAGUCAUCUUUCUUCCAGGUGUUAGAAAGUAUCUCAAAGUUUUCAUCUUUGUCUCCAGUUCAGGCCAGUCACAGGCACUUCCUCUAACUGUUCCCCUCCUCAAAAGGGUCAUUCUCCAGUGUGCGCUUCCACUCAUAUAUGUCCAUCAGGAAUCUGCGUGUCUAAAAUGGAGCUCAAGGCUGGAGAUGUAGUCUGAUCAAUACAGAACUACAUAGCAAGGCGGGGUGCUUGCUUUCUCUGUGGGAGACAGUGAAAAUGUGUCAUUGAGCUGGGUAUGGUGGCAUACACCUUUAGUCUUAGCAUUUGGAGGCAGGGGCAGGAGAAUCUCUGUGAGUUUGAGUGAGUUCCAGGCCAGCCAGGGCUACACAGUGAAACUUUCUGAAAACAAACGGGAGAGAGAGAGAGAGAGAGAGAGAGAGAGAGAGAGAGAGAGAGAGAGAGAGAGAGAAUGUGUCCUUGAUAAUACAGCCACUAGCUGGGUAUAGUGGUACAUGCCUUUGAUCCUUGGGGUCUUAGGCAAGCCUGGUCAGUACCAUUUAUAAGCAACACUUAUUAGCAGCUUAUCUCAAGAAAUAAACUCAAGGAUGAGUUUGUGCUAUGGGAAAUAGUAUAAACCCUAAAUUAGGAAGGAAUAGAUAUUAAAGGGUUAACAUCAGGAAGUCUCUCCCUUCACCAUUUUCUACUUUGCUUCUUCCUCCUCUUCCUCUUGGUCUCCUUUGAGAAAUUAGUUAUAGGUAAGACACGUAUGUUUAACGUUUGAGUUAGUUCCUC